CUUAUAGUCCGCAGCCAUAACUAACGAAGUGCCACAUUGCCUCUGAUUCGGUUGGGGCAACUGCUAUUGUGCAGAUAAAAAGCUUGCGGCUUAAAAGUAUCGAAUUUUAAUAUUUAUGUCGAUUUUAAUUAUUCAUGACGACGGAAGCAUGACUUUGCAAAACAUACCAGGGAAAAAUCAUUGAGGAGGACAGCUGCUUCCUUUUUUUUAAAUUUCAAUCAAAACAAAUUGCAGAUGUCCGUACAUUUGAAUAUAUGAGCGUAUCAAAGGACUUAACAUGAGACAUCAAAUUCAAUGCCACUGAAUCCCUGAGAUGAGAUCAUCAUUGAAGAACUGAUUUUUUCAAUUGUUUCUACUGAUAUCUUGAAAGAAUUCGUACUGAUAUUGUAAUGUUGGAGCAGCAGUGCCUUCCAGACGGAAGUAUUGGCCAUAGGGGAAACUUGUCGGCUACAAAUCGCAAACUUCUCUUUUAAGGCCAAUAUCACUAUUCCUAUGGAUAGCCAAGCUACAAUCCACGCUCUGGAUUCGGCUACAACAACCACAAAACUGGUGGUACAAAGCAGAAAUAACCUCACCACCUAAAGGGUGGCUGCUUGCGCUCUCAAUAACUGCGUUUCUACAAUUACAGUAACGCUCCGCCAUGCAUUUCAGCGAUAAUGUUUAUCUCGGCAGCGCAGCGCAAAUUAAAAUAACAAGAAAUGAAAGAAAAAAUGUAACAUUAACAAAAGCAUUUUUCCAAUCAUCAAC